CUGACUACCAGUGGGAAAGGAUAUCUUCUGAAGAUCCCUCCUCUGGAGUUUUGUAGUGAGCCCAUGACACGGCUACAGUGAAACUUUGACGAUGAGGAGGAAAGUGAUGAACACGGUCCUGUCAGCCAUGACUCCAGAGAAAGUCAUUAAAAAUAAACCAGAGUUCCAGCCAGGAAAACCACUUCAGCUUCAGCCUCCUUGACAGGUAGCAAACCGCUGCAUUGGAAAAGAUCUCAGAGACUCCCUGAGGAUGCAUUUGCACUGGUCUGAUGGAUAUUUCAGGCUUCCAUAAACAAAGCAAAUAUUUGACAGCUAUAUUAAAAUGCAGUCAUGACGAUAAGGUGAAUUCUGUGGCUGGAUGAUAUUUUUUUCCCCUGCUGUGUUCUUACUGCCUUGUACAGCAGCAUGAGGACAUCAAUGAAUUGGAUUACGGUUUUCAUCAGCCAAAAGGAGACAGUCUGACUGAGUCAAGCAGAGGAAUACAAGCCAAACAGAGGAUGAACAGAAAAUUCAUGCUGUCUCCUGCCCAGAGGUGCAAAUCUCCUUGGAAGAGCAAGACCAGAAUUGAGGAGCCAGGAGAGAAUUUUUACAGUCUUUCACUGUUCAUUAAGCGAAGAUCUGCAAGACUCAACCUGAUGUUGUCUGUCUUUUUAAGAGAUACAUCUUCCAAGAAACCUGGGCUUUUAAUUUACAGAGCUCAGAAGAAUGUGAGAAUAUGAUAGUCUGCAUCUCUGUGGGGACCAAUUAUUGCUGGAUGAUAUUGUGUUUUUUUGGCGUUUUUUUUUGGUUGUUGUUGUUUUUUUUUGUUUGUUUUGUUUUUUUGUUUUUGUUUUUGUUUUUGUUUUGUUUUUUUCUUCUCUUUUUUUUCCCCACAAGUAGAAAUUGCUCAAUUUCAGCACGUGGAAAAUCCAGGAAGCUAAUCCGUGCGGUGCACUAAUUCUGCUCUCAAACACAAGAACACACACAGUUUCUGAAUGUAUGUGGUAAUGACCUCCAGUAUGAUGCAGAAAUGUAGGGAUGGCUUUUACAAGAUAUCCAGCAAUGCAAGGCUGCUACAUAUCGGAUAAGAUCCAAGCCCUUGCUGUGUAACCUCCACAGCCUUAAUGAUGUUCUUAAUGGAUACGUGGGCUGAAAUUUAUAGUUUCAACAUGAGAGCUGAGAGUUGUGGGUGUUUUAUAUUGUUAUUUUAAUUAAAUAAAUAAGACAUCAAAGUGAUUCUAGAGACAGCAAAUGCAAGUUUUUCUCAUUUUUUACAAUGCUCAGGCAGUCUACCAUGAUUUCUCAUACAGCAUUCUGUUAAAGUUGUAAGGGAUGCUCCAAGUCCCAGAUUUUGUUUCAGAAGCAUGAUGAGUGCAUCUGUAUGCACGUUUGAGAGACUACAAAAUUAGUAUAUAGAUUAUCUUGGACUUCAAUAUCUCAACUGGGAAAUGAGGAUAAACUUCUUUUACUGUACAUACCUUUAUGUACUACAUAGCAAUAGCUUUCAGUAUACAACUGAGAUGUAUUGUCUUUUUUUUUUUUGAAGUCGCAUUUAGAAGUAUAUAUUAAUUUCUCACACUUUACAGAUACAUGAUACAAAUCAAACUGCUGAAUGUAAUCUGAGCAGGAAGCUGAAGAGAAAGAUUAAAACAGUAUUUUAAAUUUAGUCUAGUUUGCAAAUGACCCUUGACUCUUCCUGCUUUGUGUAUUCUUAGAAGGAAAAUAUAUGUAAAAUAUGUUUCCUUCUCACUUUAUCAGGUCUAUGUUAUUAAGGGCAAACCAAUAACAAAUAAACCAAACACCAAAUAUUGUUGAUUGUAUUACUAUAAGCUAAUAUUACUGGACAAAUUAUUAACAAAUAGUAACUCCUUAUAGCCAUUUGGUAAACACUGGAUGAAUUUUUGUUAAAGAUCAUUAUGCCAUAUAUUUUUAGCUGCUCUGGGAAUUGUGUUUACGGCCAAAAAUCAAACCAAAGCAGAGUAUAUGGCCACAAAAAAAAAAAAAAGAGCUAUUUUCACUAAUAGCUUGUGAAUGAUUUUGCAAUAUAAUUUCAUUGGGUGUUAGAAUAUAUUUUAUUUCGUCAGUUUCAGAUGUUUCAAUUUUUUUUAAGCUUUCACUUCUACAAGUAUUUCAUUCCAUUUCAGUCUAAUGAUAAAAUUUCAUUUUAACUGCUGGAUAUAUUGGUUUCUCCACAGUUUUUCUUCUUUUUAUUUUAACCACUUGAGGACUUGCACCACAACGAGAAUGUCUCUUUGUUCUCUCUGUCUGAUUUAAAGCAAAUUGCCCUAUGUACUACAGUAGUUUUGAAUGUAUUAAAAGUUUUUAAAAUCAUGAAUUAUGUGAAAUAUUCUAACAGUUUAAGUUUAAAUGAUGCAAUUAGCCAGUUACAACUGGAACUACCAGGCCUUAUUUAAAAUAAUGAGGUCUGAUAGUUAUGGAGCCUGAAUUAUUCAUUGAUAACUAGCUUUUCCUCUUUUGCAAACCAUGGCUAACAUUAAUAACAGAGGUGUAAGUGUGAUAACAAAAGAUUUUGACAUUGGGAAUACAAAUACAAACGUGCUAAAUUCCUCCUUAUUUAAAAUUACUUCAGUAGUAACAUCUCCAAAGAAAAAUUCUUAAGAUUAUUUUCUCAUACAUUUCAGCAUUUGCUUCUGCAUGGAAUUGCUGUUUAAAGUAACAGAUCUUGGUGCCUCAAAGAGAAUAUUUUCAAAAUACAGUUAAUUUCUUCAUGUGCAAUAUUGUAAUAUUGUAAGUAUGUUAUCUUACAAAUAAAAUACAGCACUUUCUGUAGUGACUUAUCACGCUUCUCAAAGUACACACCAAUAACAUAGAGCCCUCCCUGGUCUUGAAGAUGUACGAUUUCCUAGUGCUCACCAUAUCACUGCUUUGCUUCAUCCAUGACCACUCCAUCAGAUUUGAAGUUAGCUUUUUUCUUUAGGACACACAAGUAAAACGUUAUUCUUUUAACAUGCAUAGUAAGAAUGGUAUCAAGCACCUUAUAGUAUUUUUAUAAAAGUCUGAAUUCUUAUGUGUAAUUGCUUGCUGUAAGCCUAGAUGUUAUUAAUUAGCAUUGCUAAAGAACAAAACAAAAUAUCCACAUAAAACAAUCCAUCAAUAACAAACAUAUUUGUCUUCUACUUAUCCAAGCGCUCAUAUACAUCUGGGUGUCUUUUAUGAAAGAAAGAACUUAUACAAUUGCAGUAGCAACUGGUAUGCUCCGUUAUUCUCUCUCAAAAUAAAAUAAAGCAAAGAAAAACAAGAUGUAUAAUCUUUCUGGAAGUAGAACAUGCUAAAAUGACUCAUCUAUAAGUAGGAAUGACUGAUUUUUGUCUAGAACUUUUGGUUACCACAAUAGAUAGAUAACAUUAAAUUAUCUGUGAUAUCAAAAUAGAGAUCUUAAACAAGCAGAAGCACAGACUCAAUUUAGGAUGACCUGUUGAGUUACUGUAAUUACACAACUCAUCAACAGAGUUGUUUAGAAGGUAAUUAUGCAACUGAUUCUCAGAGUGACAGAAAUAGGUGAAAUUUUACAUGAAACCUAAAUAGGUCGAACCUCCAACUGGAUGCAGUGUUUUUCUGUGCACCUAACUGGAACUUUCUGAAGACUGUAGCCUAAACAUGUAUUUUAAUAAAAUAUGCGUCUGUUAUAUUGUAUUGCAUACAGUUCCCCAGUGGAGAGAAAUCAGAGAGUCGAAGGUCAAAAUAAAUGCUAUAUAGAUAUUGAAGUCUGUUCAGUGAGACUUUGCAAAGGAGGAUUUGAAAGAUGACUAUUUUUAUUAGUGCAGAUGCAUACAAUAUAAACUGAUUUUUUGUGUGUGUGCAAAUGUCAAUUAUAGCAUACAUAUUGUUCACUGAUGAUUAUGUCAUUGGUCAAGAGGGAGGAGAGCCCCUAGAUGAAUGAUUAAUAAUCAAUGUGUCUGGGUUCUUAUUUUAUUCCUCAGAAAGGAAGAAUGAAUUACUGGUGUCUCUUCCAAAAAUGAUAAAACCUCCAAGAAAUAGGUCACACCACCCACAUCUGUACGCAGAGGGGCCCCCUAUGUAAGUAGAUUUCCUUGUUUUGGGCAUGGAGGUUCAGCCUCCCCUACUGUAUCAUUGCUUCACCUUCCUACACUCUGAUGCAAUUAGGGAGGAAAGGCAACGUGGCUCAGAAUCCUAUUAAUUUUUCAUAUAAUCAUAAAAAGCUCAGAGAGAGGGUGGAGAAAUACCUGGGGAAAAGGAGUCUGAAGGAGGUCCACAGUAGUGUCUAAGCAUGUGGUCUCUCUCUAUAGGUGAACCCAAGUCUUCCACUAAGUUUGGGCCAACAGAAGGCAAAUCAGACUGGGGCCCCAGGGGAAUGAGAAAGAUAAAGAAUGGUUCCUGGAGAAAUAGUCAUUCUCUGAUAUUCAGUGAGAAAUUAUCCCAAAGUAGAUACAAGAUCCAUUAAGUAUUUGCAUGUGUCUGUCAAAAUUUAAUGUUAACAUGGACCAUCAUCCCUCUUGGGGAAAAAAAUAAAAAAGGUCACAUCACUUUACAUUGACAAACGUAAGUCAGAUGGAAUCAGUAGAAAUGUUUGGUAGAAGCAUAUGGUAGUUUGUUUGUUUCUUCCCCACCCAAAGGAGAAAUCAUAUGCUAGAACGAAUGUUUUUUUUUAAUUAUUCAAUCUCUGUUAGUAGCAGAGUAGGGAAUUACUUUAGCUUACUCCUGUGUUGUGUCCUAGGUGCCAGAUAGAUAUGACUCCAGGCAAGUUUAACUUGCGCACUCUCCUUUUUGUUAAGUGCCUGAUGCUUCUUCUUAAGGAAACCUGCUAAUUUCAACAGCUAAGUUGCAUGCUCCCUUUCUUUCUUUUCCCCCAUUCACACUGUCUGUCUCCUUUAUACUUCUACCACUGCUGCAACGUCCUAGAUGAGAUCACAAAAACCUGAACCUCAUAAGCCAAAGUGCUGGUAUUCAAAAGCACUGAUUAUUUUAUGCUAAUGAAUGAGCCAUCUAGUAAGACAAUAUUUCACUUGUUGUGCCCUCCUAGUGGUAGCACAAAAUAAAUCCAACAGUGUCCUUAAUUAACUAAAGAAAGUAGAAACAAAUCUCUGUGGUUUAAUAAUAUUUAUGGCCUAAAAUGAACAAACCAAAGAAAGGGAGAAAAGUAAAGAGGGGCAAUUCAGAGAAAAACAUAAUACAAAAUUCUCACGUAUACCAGAAGGCACAUCUGUAAAGACUUGUAAAUAAGACACAAUCCUACAUGAAGCAAAAUUAAGCACUGAAAUUAAGGUGAUCACUGAAGAGUGUGUUAGAAAAUGUAUUUUUGUAUUUGUUAAAAAUAAAAGUUAAAAAAAAAAUAAAAAAAAAUGAAGGCAAAUAUCUCUCGAAGCAAAGGUAGAUCUUGGUGCCCACGCAGGAGUCAGAUCGUUUUUAUCCAUAAAACACACAGUAUCAUAUGAUGCCUGAACCUUAAUUCAAGUAGCUCGACAACAUGAAUAAGAAAAUGCCAGGUCCAUUUAACUGUGUCCUUUGUCAAAUGCCAAUAGAGAUAGUGACUUUUUAUAAAUAUCCGGUAGUUAGAAAUAUAAAACACUGUAAAUAGAUAAGGCUACAUGGGUUGUAUUAAUGUGGGGUCAUUUCACCCAUUUACAAUUCCUAUUCUUUGGCUAGAGACACAUAUUUUGUUCUAGCCCUUAAAAUAUCCUGCAGAUCUGAAGCGCUCUUAGAAAGAAGUCCGCACAGACCUACAUCAAAGAAGAUCCCAGAAAAAGCAUCAGGGCUCCAUAUCACCAGGCUAACUCCAAGGGAUCUCAGAAAUUUAACUCUAGGGGAAGUACAAAUGCACUUUCAGCAGCAUAGCUGUAUUGCAGACUAUUUCACGAAUUUCUUACUGGAACACAUGCUUUUCAGAUUGCAAACAAUCUAUGUAGAACUAGAAAUCCCAGCAACACACCAUCCAAUGAAAAAGACUUCAAGAAUAGACAGCUGAAUUUGCUGUUGUUAUUGAAACCUUACUUGAGCCUGUGAGACUUGUUCUUUCCUCAAAUUACUUUAAUUUAAUUGAGAAGUCUGUAUUCACACUAGGGCCAUUAGCAUGCUGGGAUUAAAAUGAUGAAGCCUAUCUGCUUAUAUGACAGAGCAAACACUGAAUUUCCUAGCAAGUGUGCAACUAAAUGUAGAACAAUGACAAUACAAAGUAUUUGAAAUUUGCCUUGACCACAUGUGCAAACCCUGUGAAGUGCUAAGCUCUCUGUAGCCCACUCCCUUCCUUCUCUUGAUAAUUUUAUGCUAUCUUGUAACACUGUAAUGUGAUAGAUUUGCCACCAGCAGGGUGGCAAAGCUUCUGACUGCAGCAACUGAGUAAGACAAGCCCAAAUGCAGCAACCAUAGACACAGAUAUGAAGGAAAAGAGCUGCUUACCUUUCAAAGGUCUCAGGUAUGCAGGGAGCUCCAGCAAGAUACUAUUGCCUCUAUUGCCAGCCCUUAUAUGAGGUCUGGGAUGUGGGGGAUUCUGACUCCAUCCCUUCCAGUCACUCAGGGGCAUUGCAUGCACCUGAGGUGCCUUGGAUUGCCCCUACCUUCCCACCAGGUGCUCAAUUUCUGGUUCAGGCCGUGACUUAGCAGUUCUGCUACACAUUUUUAGAUUGCUUUGUCUAGAUAUCACUGCAGCAUUGUCUGAUUCAGGAUUUACAACAUUUAUUGACAGCAGGAAAACACAUUCCUCCUUAAAACUCUAUAAUUCUUCAGAUUACAAUGCUGACUGUGAUCUCACUGCCCAUUGCUCAAUGUCUAAACUAUGCUGUUUAAGUUGAAUAGAUAUUUCAGGAUGAUAUGUAAAAAGAUUUGUUAAUGCUACGAGAUCGAUUCACUGCAAUGAAUUUAAAACAGAGAAUACUUACUGACGUGUGUCACUGUAUCACACAAUCUGUUGAUACACAGUCUUGUUUGUAAAGCCUUAAGGGAUACUAAAGGUCCAUCAUAAGGUAACCUCUAAACAGAAAAGUAAUAAAAUGUGCCAAUGAAUUAAAAACAAUAUUCAUGAUAACACACAAGGAAUUAUGAGAAAUAUUUUAAUAGUCAUCCAUUCAGUGAUAAUUUUUCUGACUCACCUCAUUAGUGCACUCAUUGUCUUCAACUACAGUUGCAAAGCAUUGUCCAAAGUCACCUCUCCAUCUGAGUGAUUGGAGCAGGGAGUUUCUUCUUCUUCUUCUCAAGUUGUGUACUCAUUGGAGCAGUGGGAGACGGACCUGCACAAAGGGGUAGAAUUGCUCAGAAAGAAAUGCUGGGAAGAAGCAAGCAUUCUCCAGCCAGAGAAGGGAGCAAAGGAGCCUCUCCUGGAGCCUCAUCACAAGACGUAUCACAGGCAGCACCUUGCAUGCUCCCUCUAUCUCUACUAUGAAAGUUUGGCUGGAGGAUGAUGGAAUGGCACCAUGUCCACUCUUCUAUCCUCAGGAACUGGAUAACCACAUGCUUGAAGCACCUUUGUUCUUGAGAGCUACUGCUGCAACUUGCAGGUCCUCAGCCAAUUCUGUGUUUACUUUCCAUUCCUGCACAGUGCUGAUCGACAAAGACAGAUGCAUAAGCAAGAGGGUGAAUAAAUUGGGAAAAAGAUUUAAGAAAUGAACAAGGCAAACUCCAUUCACUCCAGUAAUCUACCAGUUCCCCUUCAACUCCACUGGAGAUAUCAUGGCCCAGAAACAAUAGGUUCUCUCUAUUCUCACAUUGCAAAUAGUAGUUUGUUUGGUUUAAAAAAAGUAAUGCCAAUUAAAUGUCAUCACUUAUCUACAUACAAGAAGAACAUGAGACAGCAUACUAAUUUUACACACAUUACUCUUUAUGUAACUGGAAAUGAAUCAUAAAUGCAUAUGUAUAGAAGGAAUACAUGUAGAACUUCCUAUACUUUAAAUGGCUCUUCACAUUUUUUCUCUGCUCAUACUAAAUGAUUUUUGUCAAUAUUUUAAUUUCAGUUGGGAAGGGUGGAAUCAAAGAGUGACAUCUGGGAAAAUUAUUGUCAGCAAACUGAUGACUACAUAUCAUAACUAAGAAAUAAUGUGAAGAAGGAAGAAACUUGAUACAAAUUUUAAAUUUACUACUAAAAAUCAAGAAGACAUAUUUAGAAAUAAACAGAACAAUAUUCAUCAAUGUAUAGUAUUGUAAGAUGUAUUAUAUACAUAAAUGAUCAUUUCUGUAAUCCUAAGAAUAUUAAUGAAGCAACUAAUAAAUAAAAUAAGCACCAAAGGACAAGAAUAUGACCUUAAAGUCCUUACUCAGCUGCCCUAUUAACUUUCUGAACACCACUGAAAGUGUGUGUCAGCUGCUUAAAUUAAAGAGAGAGUAAUUAAAAUUACACAAAUAAUAGGUGACUGGGGUCAGUCUCCAUCACCCUAUCUCCUAUAUUUCAGAGCAUUUUACAUUUUUUCCAUCAAUAUACAAUCUUAAUUUUCCCUGCACAUCACUCUUGGUUUAAAAACAACUUAUCAUGAUAAGCAUAGCUGUUCACUGAUGGUCAGAGCACAAGUUUGGGAGCUGUGGUCAAAUCUCUUCCAACAGUGCAUCAGGGGGAUUCUCACCCCACAGAGGCAAGAGAGAAAGCACAGAAUCCAAUACACGUCUGUGUUCCACAGGUGGUCACACCAGUUCUUUCCCUUUCACUUUGUGGCAUCAGUCCAACUCCCUGUGAUAAUUAUGGAGGACAGACAGAGACAACAUAAGGAGGGAUCAACAGACUUUGAGUUAUGAAGCUAUUAUUACUAUUCAUCACAUUAAUAAUUAUUCAAAACCUUUGCAGUUUCAUAUAUUGACUCAUUGGAGAUACCAAUGCAUCUUUCCCUAAUUUUACUAACCUUAGUGCCACUAAACCUUUUUCGUAGCUCCUUCUGUGUGACGAGUUCCCUUAAUCUGUAAUAAAAUUCACUCCUCAUUAAAUACUCAUGAUCAUUUUUCCAAAGGAUUGAGCAGAAUGGAAAAUACUCAGUUUUUUUCUUCCAUGGUCCCACCUGUACAGGUCAACACAUUUUUUUGUUGAAGGGGGAUUUGUAUGUGCAUGUUAAAGUUUUGAUUUCACUGGGAUCUUCAGAGAUUUGUAAUGAAGUCCUGCUGUUAGUGCUAUUAGCAGUAGGUCUGGAGAGCCAUACAUGACAUUUGCUGUAUUAUGCCUUAGGGCCUCUGUGAGAGGCCAGCUCUCUCAUCUGGAAGAGAUAUUCUGAUCAAUGGUGAGUAAGACUGAUUCAUAAAGUGAACCCUUAAUAAGUAGAAAAGGAAUUCUCCCAAAAUACUGGCAGAAGAGAAGAAUGCGGGUGAACACAAGCAAGAGUCGGCACAGGCUUUAGCAGUCUCAUGUCUACUCUCACAAAUUUCAGCUUUUUCAUUUUGUCUUUCUCCCUUGAGUUGCACAUGCAAUUUCAUCAAAGAUGGAAGUUUUGUCUCAGAAUUUACACAGCAAUAAAUCAGGUGGACUAAAAUUAGAACAGAAAACCGCAAAACACAACAAAAGAAAUAACAAUCAACAACAACAAAAGGAAAACAGGUUGACUACAACUACUUUAAACAUCGUAGCUCUUACAAAAUGAUGAUUAAUAUCUUUAGCUCUGGUAACAUCCAAGGAAACAUGGUGUUUAUCUUUGAUAUACUGGUAGUUUUUUAUUAUGUUUCCAAGGCUUUUGUCUAUGGAAAGUCUACUGAGAGUGAAGAUCUCCAACAGAGUGGAAUGACUCAUUUGGCACAAAAUAAAAUUAGACUAAACUAAACCAAUGAGAUUGAGCCAGUCUACAUAUCUUUCACCUCCAUUCUGGCUCUGAAAUUCUCCUUUAUGUGUAGCUCCAUAGAAAUCUUACUCUGCGUUAUACUGAAUUCAGAUAGGAUUCAGCUAUGCCACUUAACCAACUAUUAGAGAUGAUGGGGAGUUGUUCUCUUUUUGUGAAAACUCAAAAAUGUACAAUUCUGCCUCAUGACAGAAGAACACAGUGGUGACUACACACUCCUCUUGCCAGUAAAGUAAUCCUCCCUCCAAAUCAUGCCUUCUCUUCAGGAAAGUUGUGACAGGCUAAAAUACACUCCCUGACCAUACCCCACACCUUGUUGAUGAGAGCACUUCAGUAUAGACUUGCUGCUGUGUAGGCUGAUUUCUUGUGAAUUGGGCCUUGGAUGUGCAUGCCUGGAGGUCAUGUUAGGGCCACCAGCAUCCAGCUGCCUUCUGCAUAGCCAUUCUACAAGGGGAAUGCUGGCAGCUCUAAGGUAGAGCACUGACUGACAGAAGAUCUUUCCUUAGGUUUUUGUUCUACACGUAAAGUUUAGAGGUUUUCCUCUGUUACAAUUCUUUUCUCAAGCAGUUAAUGAGCUGUAGUCAAUUCUCUCCUCAACUAUCACAUACGGAAACUAAGUAAGCCAAUAUAAAAAUAGAAGUCUUUCUAUCUGUCUAUCUAUCUUCUCACUUUUCUAGUAUUCAUCUCUUUCUUGUAUUUUUGUCACUUCUCAGUAACACUGAAGACAGAUGGGAAAUGUAGUUUCCUAAAGUCAUUGCUGGUUAGAUUGUCACUGAACUUGAAAGGACUUUAUUGCAGCCCUCCUAAAAAUUGUUACUCUUCAGUAUUUUCCUAACCACCACCUUUUUGUGAUGGUUGAAUUUAAGAAGGAAAUUGUCAUUUUAAACAGUCUGUUUUUAUAGCAACUUAUCAAACAGUGGCCUUUAGCUGUUGUUUUGUGACAGCCACUCUAUUAAAAUCCUGAUGUAAACAAGUGGAGAAGGUGAACUAGAAGUGCAGAUAUUUGCACAGCAUUACUGUCAGGUAAAAUUUUAAAGAUAGGUUUUAUGAACCCAUUAUUUGCAGUCAAGGCUUUUGACUACAGCAUCUGAAAUCAUUUAAGUAGACAAAGUGUUUUGUCAAAACAUACUGCUGGGAGUCAGUAUGUAGCUUCUUUUUAUGUAAUUCAGUUUGGCUCUGUUGUUUGCAUGAGAGAAGGAUAUCUAGCUGGACAGCAAUACUGGAGCUGUGUAUGAUCACAAUACGGUGACUUUCCACUGUAAUUAAUGGUAAAUGCCUUUUGUUUUCAUUUGGUGCCUAAUGCAUGCAUAAUUGUACUGUACAUACAGACGUUCCAAGGGAGAUGCUUGAGGGCUUCUAAGUACAAACAACAAAAAAACCCAAAGAUUUUUACAGUUAUCUUUGUAGGAGUGGGAGGUGCAUAAGAAUGUGUGUCUGCUUUAAAAGCACCAAUCUCUGUGUUUUGCGCAGCAUAGCAUUUGAGAGAGAUGGGCAUUUUAAGGAAUUAGAGUUAUUGCUGCUCUUUCAGCCCUGAGCCCCCACCCAAGGUGAUUCUGAACAGGACUGCCCUGUGCAUGCUGGCUUGCUGUGGUCCUCUGAGGAGCUGUACAAGGGCAGCACUAUUAGAGUACAGUACAUGCUAGCAAACCUCUCUUCACCCCAUAAACCACUCUGAAAUUGCUGAGAUUGUCUGCAAGUUAGGCAGCUUUCUGAAAAACACAGCCUAGACAUUCACCAAAUAUUUGCCCAACCACUUUAGAAACUAUCUGAUCUUCACAUCUCCAGCUCCACUACUUCAUCUAGAGCAGCAACAGCAGCACUGAAUGUGACUAGGGAGUUAACCAGAAGUUCACAAACCUGAUGCUGUUUGCUGGGGUUAUCCUGAGAUACGAGGCAGUACCCCUUAAAUGUGAACUACAGUUAUUUCAUAUGAAUUAUCAUUUUGCCAAGCCAUACCUUACAGUGUUUUUCAUUUUAAUUUUGAUUGAAACCAGAAUUUCUCCAAAAGACCUGUAUAGUUUCAAAUGUAAUUUCCAAACUUACUUCACUUAGAUACUGCUAUCAAUUGAAACCAUGAUGACAGGAGGAGGAAAGGCAUUUAGCUCCUCACACAGAAAUAACAUACCAUUUUGAGGUGUAAACCACACAGUUUUAAAUAAGCUAAAGUAAUAAAGCUGCAAGACAUGAAGACCAGCUCUUCUCCGUUAGCAUAUUGGCAGAACAUUAGUAGAUAAAUGGAGAAAUCUGCAAAGAUAACGAGAAGAAGAAAGCAUUUGUCAGGCAGUAGCAAUGAUGAGUGUAAGAGGAGUAAGACAAACAGCGCAAAAGUUGUCAGAUAAAAAGUCAGCAACUUCCUGCAGUAAGAUUAUAUGUCUUUUAGCAAGUCCUUUCCAUCCAGAUUUUCCUUUUAGAACUUUAUUUUGAUCUGCUACACAUCAAAGCCAGAUAAAUUAUGUAAAAUGCUCAGGCAUCCUUUGCCCAGACAUAAUUCUACAUCUGUGCACAUAAAUAAGAUCAUUUAACUAGUUAUUACAUAGAAUAGAGAUCGAGAAAGCUAACAAAAGGAAGAAAGCCACAAUCACCGAUGUAUAUAACCAAGAGCUGUCAACACAACCAUUUAAUACCACUGUAGCAGCAUCAGUUAAUGAAGCGAUUAGAACAGUCUAGUACUGUGUAUAUGAUUUAUUUGAAGAUAACUCCUACCUUAGCAUAGCAUCUAGCUGCAAAGAUGGUGCUGCUGUAACAGUACACUCCACAUAGGUCACCAGAAAUCUCUUAUCAGUUGAUCUCAGUUGAGCCACAGAGCUGUAAUAUUCAUGUAUUUGUAGUACACUUUUCAGUUCAGUACUUCUUUCAUUUCAAAAUUAGUCCUGGUUACACCAUUUAAUCUACGUUGUUUUCUAAGCCAAUUACUUGGUGCGAUAUGAUGGCUUUUAGUAUACCAGCCUGAAGUUCUGCUCUGCCACAGCUGCAGAAAGGGCACUGAAAUGGCAUGCCACCAGCCUAGCUCUGUUUGGCCCUGAUCCAGCAAAUCACUUAAACACCUGUUCAACUUAAAGCAUAUGAGUAAUCCCAUAGAAGACAAGAUUAUAAAUUCUUUGAACAAGUUCCUGCCUAGACUCGUAAGCUCUGAAAACAGAAGGGAACAUCCAAACAUCUUGUCUGACCUCUUGUAUACCACACAAUUUCCUUCAGUUUUGUCUUGCUCUUACUUUCUUAGGAGAAAAAAAUCCAGCUCUAACGCUUAAAUUUUUGAUCAUGGAGAAACUACCACACUUCUGCAUAAUUUUUUCAAUAAUUAACAAUCCUUGCCAGGAAAAGAUAUACUUUUUUUCAAUCAAGAUUUUACAAGCUCCUUUGGAUUCACUGAAUACUGUUGUCUUUUUAUUAAUCAGACUGAAGAGGCAGAGAUUAUCACAUUUCUGUUUCAUAUACACACUUAAGGACUGCAAUUAAAUCAGUGCUUAAUUUUUACUUUGAUGAAUUGAGACUGCGCAUUUUGAGUUUCCCAGUAUACAAUAGAUUAUUUGUCUUCUAAUCAUACUCCUGUCCCUUCUCAGAUCCUUCUUGUGUUCUGCAUCUCUACAAAUCUGGUUUCUGGAACAAGACAAGGUAUUUCCAGAGAGGUCAUUGCCUCACCUAAAAGGCAGUGGAGAUUCCUGCUUAUAGACCUGUUUUUCUUCAACAAGUGUAAGGUGGGAUCUUUUGGCUCAGGUUCACACUAACAAUUUUCACAGAAGUGACAAAUCAUGCUUCACCUUCCAGCCAAUUUUUUCACUGUAACUUUUCCUGGAUAAGUACACUCUUCUUGAUGCAUCCCCACACAUACUUUUUUGUACCUCGUUGUAUGAUCUUACCUUCACUGAAAUGCAAUUUGGUUGUGCCUAACUCAAUUGUUCUCAAUGUAUCCUUUAAAAAUUUUCGUUAUUCCUUAAUCUCUUAUUUAUAUGUUGCAUUCGUAGUCUUAGCGAUGUCUACAACUUGUGAUGAUUUUCUUCUACACCAUGAAUUAAGAUAAAAACAGAUUAACAACUCACUAGAAAUAUGUGUAGUCAGUGGACAGCUCACUAUUUGCAACUACAUUUUUAAGAACAAUGUCACGUUUAAUAUAUUUAGUAUGUACCAUAUUGAUCUUGUAAUGUUCAAGUUUUGUAAUAAGAUGUUUCAUGAAAUCAAAUCAAAUUUCACAUAAAAACUAUUUCUCUCUACAUUUGUAUAACAUUCUAAAGUUCUCAUCAAUAUAUGUCAAAUUACUCUGACAAGAUCUAGGUUUUAUUAACCCUUAUUGAUUUGCUUAAAUUAUGUCAUUCUUCUUGCAUAAUAUUACAAUCUCAAUAUCAUGUUAAUAUCUGCUUGUAGCUACCAUCCAUAUACAAGCACAAAAUGCAAUACAAUAAUUAUUUAUAUAUUAUUAUUGUAAAAGUUUGUGAUAGAAGUUUGGAGAACAAGAUAGUAGAUACACAGUUGUGAAGAAAGAGCCCUGGACUGACAAGACAGAAUAUUCACCUCGGGAACUUCAACUUCUCAGAGGUGAGAAAAGGUUGGGAAAAAAAGAAGAGAAAAAAGCUGUCUCUAAGGGAGAAAAGAAAGGAUUUAAAAUGUUAUUUUAAUGAAGAAGGAAAAACGGUAAGGAGAGGAAAAAAAUCAGCUAUCAAAGAUGCUCAGAAAGACCAUAGAACAAAGCAGAGUGGGGGUUGUUAGAGAUGACAGAAGAAUAUUCAAGGUACUUGUAAUGCUAAAUAGAGGACUCCAGGUUGAAGGAUGAGUGACAGAAAGCAGAACACAAGAGCAAGGCAGUAACCUUGUGUAAGCACUAGUUCUGUGUAACUAAAUACUAAUCAUAGUUAAUCAUUGGUAUACACAGGAGAAACAGAAGCCAUGCACAUAGAGAAUGCAAUCUCAUGAAAUCUACCCACGGAAGUGACCCUGUCUACUAUUUCAGCCUCCUUUCAGGAACCCUAGCCAUAGACAAACAGGGAGUGAUGCCAAAACUGGCUGGUGCCAUUGACAAAUACAAGAAAGUACUGGAAGUUGGCACAGUGGGCAUUUUCAGCUAAAUCUGGUUUCUCUUUUCCCAGAGAAGAGUACUUAAAAAAAUGGAAAAAAGUAGUCUUUGGAGAAGGACACUUUUAACAAGAUCUUUUCUGUUUGCUUCAUUCCCCUGUGAGGGUUCAGAGCACUGGAAUUUCUGUAGGCCUCUGUUUGAAAAUAAGCAGCUAAUGAAAAGGUAUGUGCAUGGCUUACUACCCUAAACUAGUCCUCUUAGAAUAUCCUGGGAUUUGCCAAAGCACUAAAUGACGUUGGCAUAGAACACUUUAAGGGAAAAGUCACCUUUAUUCUUUGCUUUUCAGUAUUUAGAAAUGUAGCUUCAGUUUCCUUUGUGUUUUUUGUAUGAAAGAAAUUCAUUUUGAAUAGAGAUGGGUCCAUUUCUUUAGUUUUGAUCUCAAUGGAUACCGAAGCUGGACUGCUGCGCCUUCCAACUCUUGCAAUUUCUAGGGGAAGAGAGGGCAGCCAGGUUUAGAUGAAGGGGACUGAGCAAUAGCAAAAAAAAAAAAAUGCUUAACACGGAGAAUCUCAGUUUCUGAGACUAGCAGUGUUAAUGUAAUGCUUUGCUAUUUCUAUGAGAACUAGAUACAAUUAGAACUUUGCUGACAGUCUAGGCUACCUUAUUUAUUUCCAAGUCAACAAAAUUCCAUGCUUCAGUGAACCUUCUAAACAGCCAUUGUAACACAUGAGUCUAUUGUGUGCCUCUUGAAGACAAACCCAUUCAGAUGCCCACGUUUAGGCAGAACAUUGCAGACACUUGAUGCCAGAGAACGUGUGCUACUCAAUGGAGAACAUGAUCCUUGGAGAUCACAGUCGCAGAGUUAUUUCGAUCCUUCUCAGGAUGGGAGUCUGCAUGUUUGUACACAUACCAAUGUGACAGGGUUCCAAGCUUUACCACAACAACUUUUAGGAGAACAUCCAUCAUUCAAUGGCACAUCAGAGACAGCCAAUCUAGUGCAUGCAGUGACAUGGAUUUUUACUUUCUACUGAAGAUCCUACGCACUAUGAGAUUCACAAUGAGUAUCUGGAAGUGUGCUGUCAAGUGCCAAUUAGUGAUGUUGCUGACCCAAAAGAUAAAGAAGAUCAUAGAAGAAGCAGCCCAGUAUAAUUCUACACUCCAGUGUCCUUAAAGGAGACUCUCGUUUGUGAAUGUACUCCUGCAGAUGAAAGGGCAACAGGAGAGUUCUCUAAUCCAGCACCUACCAGGAAUGUUCAGCUCUGGCUAUAUGAACCUGAAGACCACCUAGAAACAGAAGCUUCAGAUGUGCACAAGUCUCCAUCUUCAUUCUCUUCUACAGAUUUAGCUGAACUGAAGUGUUCAGAGUGAAACUGCCAGCUGGAAGAAAAAAGUCAGCUUAGUUACACUCAAGAUUUGCAUCACUUCAAAGACACUGAGGAUCAAGGAGGCCCACACCCUGUGCCCAGCUGAGAGAGAUGAAGAAACUAACAGUGUGGGAUGCUUCUCAAGAGCACAUCUCCCUCUCCCUGCACCCGCCCAGCAUUCCCAUUGCACAUGGGCACCAGUCACAGCUUUGGGCACAAGAAAUUCUGCUUUACUUCUCUGCCCACAUCGCUCAUAGGCAUGUUCAGAUAAGCUGAAGAUCUACCCUAUAGCAAGGGAAACGUACAUUAUUCUCAAUGUUACUUAUGCCAUCAGUGUUUUCAGGUUAAUUUGUAAAAAAAUAUGACCUGAAAGCCUAAGAUUGAGUUUCAAAUGAGACAGUUAAUUCAAGGCUUGGUUUAAUAAACCUAAUUUAUUAUGUGAGAUAACAGAGUUCUGCAAUUGACUGCACAGCUGCAUGGCUGAAGUUAGUAAUUCCUGUGAAUAAUGCCGCUAAAAGUAUUAUGUAGUCAGUCUGCAGCAGUCAGAUGUGGUGCCUCGACAGCAGCUAUCUGCUGUUAUUGCUAAAAUGUGGAAAAAACAAGAGGAUGAAUCAUCUCAGCUGUAAAUAACUGAGUUGCAGGGGCACAGCUGGAGCAUUACGGCUCCCUACUCUUGCACAGCCCUUCCUAUAGCUGCUGCAGCGUGCCACUAUUGAGGGCUAAAGAUGAAGAAGUUUUGUAACUUGCUUCUGUCAUGUUUGCAAAAAAGCAUACUCUUAUCUCUAGCAUUUCUGAGUCUUUUUGGUGUCUAUGUAGCACUUCUGGAUACCACCCUCAGUAGAUGAAAAUGUACAAUGUUGUAAUAAAGGUAUAAAGCACUGCAAUUACAGCGAAUAUGCUGGCAAUGUCAGAACCAAGGCCAGGUAAAUGAGUUUACCCAGAGGGUACUUCUAGGAGUGCAGGAAAAUGCUUAAUUCCGAUAGAAUAAUUAGAAGACUGAAAGGAGGAAAAAGAAAAAAGAAAAAAAGAGUUACUUGAGUGAAUAGAAGUGAGGUUUUCUCAUGUACAAGGGCUUAAAUGACACUGUAAUUUUUCUCCUGAGAAGUUGCAAAGCUGGCCAAGCACAAUUCUGAAUGAUUUGCCUACAACGCAUAAGGUAUAAGAUACCGCUUUUAAGUCAGAUGCACCAGUAAUCCUUUCUCCUAUAGUAGUUUCCCCAUCUCCUGUUUUACAUCUCACACUACUGUGAUUAUACAGAUUAUAAUCCAUUUAGAAGUGUAUUUAAAAAGCAGCAUCAAAAACAUUUUGAAAUACAAUCUGGUAUUGCAGUCAACAGUCAGAAGGUGGGACAAGUGCAACAAUUUUGUGGAAAAUGCAUGUGAGCUUUGCUCUUAUUUCUACUUCAGCUACUCAUUUCUACAACAUUGCUACUCACAGGUAUAAAAAUCUGGGAGGGUGAAAGUUGUUAGAAUCUGAAAUUAAACAAAAAUUAAGAGAAUGCAUGAUAUCUGCAUCUUCAGUUGCAUCUUCAUUACAAUCGUAAGCAAGAACACGCCUGUCAGACUCACAGCGAGGGCUGUCUGUAGCGUGCGUUACCUGGAGGAAAGCAUCCAUGCAGCGCAGGCCGUUUGAUGAGAAACUCAGCAGCACACAGGACCUGCUGCUCAGAGCCUGCUGGUACGCUCGCCCCACAGCACCACCGCGGCAGAUGGGGACAGCAGCCAGGGCAGCGAUGCUGUGGGGAAGGUGGCUUCUUCGUAACACUUCCACUUCAAGCAACUUCAUGUCAGCAGUCAAAGUUACUGGUUCAUGGAGUAGUGGCCUCCUGAAAAUUGCUGCAGGACUGACAUAGCUGUUAGUUUAUCUGGCUAGCUUUAAUAAAUGGAUGUGAUACUAUAAGGCUUGCUAAGGGACGCUGGCUCUCUAUGCACAGCAGAAUGGUUGGGUUAGUGGAUUUUCAUACUGAUUUUCCAUUGCUUCAGUGAGAUAAAAAUGAACCUGGAAAAAUGUAGGAGACAUAACCACCUUUUUCUUUUUUUCCUGCGUUUGUUAAUAUCAUGAUGUGCUAAUGCACUUCAUAACAAACGCUAAUAUUCAAACUACAGAAAAAAAUCAUAGUAUUUCUAUUUCAUUCAUAGUUGGAUAUGAAAAAAUGAAUGAGCAUUCCCCAGUCUGAGCUGCACAGAAGAAAAAGACUUUUCAGUACAUUCUUUGACAGUAAACCUUCAUCUUACCCUUCCAGGUGGGAAAGUAUUUUUGGUUUUUUUUUUCAUGUUUUUAAUCAUACUGCAGACCUCUCAGCUGACAGCCACUCCUUUAUUCAUGAGCCUUUGUAUGGCUUAAGGAUGAUACAACCUCUUAAUAACCUUAAUCAGGUUAUUUUUUAUUGUGUUUUAAUUCAUUAUAAUCCCAGUAAGUCUGUGGAAACCUGUGGAAUUAAAAUUUGUUUCUUUAAUGGCUUAUCUUUAAAACAUUAGGUACAAAAGGCAUUAAAUUAUUAUUUGUCAAGAAAGAAACACAUACAUUGGUAAGAAAAAACUUUACAAUGAUAGAUCUCAAGGUUUUAUUUAAAGGGAACAGAACAAAAUCCAUAAGGGGUUGCCCUUUCCCCUUAGUUUGAACUCACAAGGUAAUGCUAAUUUGUCACUAACUCUUCAAGUUACUACUUUAUAGCUACUCCAACAACAUCUUUUGGCAACAUCUAAGAUGUCCUGCUGCGUACAAUUAAUCAGUAUGUUGCUUUGCAAGUGAGUUGUGAUACAGAACCCAGUAUGUACAUCACGGUAUUGGUGUUGGGUAUUCGACUGCUGGUCAGUGAGACUGCAGUGUAAGCGCAGUGGUCAGUUCUCCCCUAUAGUUUGAGUCUAAUGUAAGAGUCCAAAAAAACCAAAAACAAACAAAAAAACCCAACAACAACAACAAAAAACAACAACAAAGCAAAACCAAAUUGUGAA